UAAAGAGGGGUGUUAUAAGUUUGACGUGUCGGUCUGUCAGUCUGUAUUUCUGUGGCUCCGUAGCUCGCGAACGGAUAAAGCGAUUUCAAUUUCUUUUUUUUUUGUAUGAAAGGAUUGAAAACUUCUUUGU